rnacentral:tRNA from 2 species
GGAGAGGUAAGCUAAGAUUAAGCUAAUAGGUUCAUACCCUAUGUAUGGAGAUUUCUCCCCUCUCUA